rnacentral:rRNA from 1 species
CACUCCUACGGGAGGCAGCAGUGGGGAAUAUUGCACAAUGGGCGCAAGCCUGAUGCAGCCAUGCCGCGUGUAUGAAGAAGGCCUUCGGGUUGUAAAGUACUUUCAGCGGGGAGGAAGGCAAUACGGUUAAUAACCGUGUUGAUUGACGUUACCCGCAGAAGAAGCACCGGCUAACUCCGUGCCAGCAGCCGCGGUAAUACGGAGGGUGCAAGCGUUAAUCGGAAUUACUGGGCGUAAAGCGCACGCAGGCGGUCUGUCAAGUCGGAUGUGAAAUCCCCGGGCUCAACCUGGGAACUGCAUUCGAAACUGGCAGGCUUGAGUCUUGUAGAGGGGGGUAGAAUUCCAGGUGUAGCGGUGAAAUGCGUAGAGAUCUGGAGGAAUACCGGUGGCGAAGGCGGCCCCCUGGACAAAGACUGACGCUCAGGUGCGAAAGCGUGGGGAGCAAACAGGAUUAGAAACCCUAGUAGUCCCA